GUCCUCUAACCUUUACCCCUCCCCUGCUCUUCCUCCCCCCCCCCUUCCUCUCCCUCUUCCUCUCCCUCUCCUGCCAUGAGGUGAGCAGCUUUGCUCUGCCACCCACUUUCCAGGAUGUUCUACUUCAUCAAAGGCCCAAAGUGAUGGGGCAACAUGACCAUGGACUGAAACCUCUGAAACUGUAAGUUAAAAUAAAUCUUUUCUCAUUUAAGUUGUUUAUCUCAGGUAUUUUAUCACAGCAACAAAAGGCUGACCAACACAGAUAUGAAAAAAUAUAUAUGUGUGUGUGUGUGUGUGUGCGCGUGCGCGCUUGUAGUGUUGUGUGUCUAACAUGUAUAUUUCAAGUAUAUAUUUCAAAUAUUUCCUCUAUACCCUUAUACUGUCCUGUUUUGAAGCUAUAAGUAAAAAUUCAGGAUUUUGAUACGUUGAUGUUAAAAUUCAUUGAGAAAUGCAUAAAUAGCUACCAGAGUACAGAGUACAGACUGUUUUCUAUUUCUAUUUUAGUUUUUUCUUUCUUUCUUUCUUUUUUGUUUGGUUUGGUUUUGGCACUGGGGAUUGAACUCAAGGUCACUUUACCACUGAGCUACAUCCCCAGUCCUUUUUUAUUUUUGUUUUGAGUCAGGGUUUCCUUAAGUUGCCCAGGCUGGCCUCAAAUUUGCGAUCCUCCUGCCUCAAGCUCCAGAGCAGCUGGGAAGACAGGUGUGUGCCACCACACGUGCCCAGAGCUAAUGUAUUUUUACCUUCCUCUAUGUAAUUUCCCCCGACUUUCCUUGGAUAUUAUUCAUUUUUCUUUUUCCUAAUUUCUUUCCUCCUUUCUUUUUUUCUUUUUAAGGUCUGAAAUCUAAGUAAAAAUUGGCACGAUUCUGUGAAUGGGACCUUAUAUGGGCAAAGCCCUGCCGGACAAGGAAGUGAAGCCAUCCAGGGAUUCCCUGUUUGGCAGAAGGGCUGAGAGUAUAACUAAACAAACGAGGAGGUCUUUCAGGGACACUGGAACAGAUCUUCAAAGAAGAUUCCAUGGGUGAUUAAAAAUCUCUGGGUGGUAUUAGAGAGCUUACUGCAGAAAGUAUCAAAACCUUGGAAAGCUAAUAGUGGGGUCAUGAACUUUAUAAAGCAGAGUGAACCCCUGAGAGAACAAAACAGAACUCAAAAGAGUUCUCUAAACUACUACAUGGGGAAUACCAGCAAAACAAUAACACCUGGGCGAAAACUUUUAUGGGAGAGUCUUUCAACCCCCAAUCUCAGGCUCUCUGGCUGUUAAGUACCUUGUCAAGAAAUA
rnacentral:lncRNA from 1 species